rnacentral:rRNA from 1 species
CUGGGCUGGAUGAGUGGCGAACGGGUGAGUAACACGUGAGUAACCUGCCCUCUUCUUUGGGAUAACGGUCGGAAACGGCCGCUAAUACCGGGUAUUCACUGUCCUUCGCAUGGGGGGUGGUGGAAAGGUUUUUUCUGGUGGGGGAUGGGCUCGCGGCCUAUCAGCUUGUUGGUGGGGUGAUGGCUUACCAAGGCUUUGACGGGUAACCGGCCUGAGAGGGUGACCGGUCACAUUGGGACUGAGAUACGGCCCAG